AUUGAACGCUGGCGGCAUGCCUUACACAUGCAAGUCGAACGGUAACGGGCCUUCGGGUGCCGACGAGUGGCGAACGGGUGAGUAAUACAUCGGAACGUGCCCGAUCGUGGGGGAUAACGAGGCGAAAGCUUUGCUAAUACCGCAUACGAUCUACGGAUGAAAGCAGGGGACCGCAAGGCCUUGCGCGGACGGUGCGGCCGAUGGCAGAUUAGGUAGUUGGUGGGAUAAAAGCUUACCAAGCCGACGACCUGUAGCUGGUCUGAGAGGAUGAUCAGCCACACUGGGACUGAGACACGGCCCAGACUCCUACGGGAGGCAGCAGUGGGGAAUUUUGGACAAUGGGCGCAAGCCUGAUCCAGCCAUGCCGCGUGCAGGAUGAAGGCCUUCGGGUUGUAAACUGCUUUUGUACGGAACGAAAAGCCUUCUUUUAAUACAGGAGGGUCAUGACGGUACCGUAAGAAUAAGCACCGGCUAACUACGUG
rnacentral:rRNA from 1 species